rnacentral:rRNA from 1 species
GACGAACGCUGGCGGCGUGCUUAACACAUGCAAGUCGAACGGAAAGGCCCUGCUUUUGUGGGGUGCUCGAGUGGCGAACGGGUGAGUAACACGUGAGUAACCUGCCCUUGACUUUGGGAUAACUUCAGGAAACUGGGGCUAAUACCGGAUAGGAGCUCCUGCUGCAUGGUGGGGGUUGGAAAGUUUCGGCGGUUGGGGAUGGACUCGCGGCUUAUCAGCUUGUUGGUGGGGUAGUGGCUUACCAAGGCUUUGACGGGUAGCCGGCCUGAGAGGGUGACCGGCCACAUUGGGACUGAGAUACGGCCCAGACUCCUACGGGAGGCAGCAGUGGGGAAUAUUGCACAAUGGGCGGAAGCCUGAUGCAGCAACGCCGCGUGCGGGACGACGGCCUUCGGGUUGUAAACCGCUUUCGCAUGUGACGAAGCGUGAGUGACGGUAAUGGGUAAAGAAGCACCGGCUAACUACGUG